rnacentral:rRNA from 1 species
UUGCAGAACACAUUGAACAUCGACAUCUUGAACGCACAUGGCGGCCUCGGGUCCAUCCCGAGGCCACGCCCGUCUGAGGGUCGGCGAGUCAGACAAGCUAUCGCCUCCUUUCGUGGCAGCAGGUUUUCCCCCCACUCCCGGCGGAACGCCUCGGAGACCCCUCCCGCUCUGGAGGGUCGACGGGGCCGACGUUUGGGGCGGGGAGGACCGCGGAGGCGCCUUGGGUUUUCGCGGAUCCCCGUCGAUCCCCGUGACUUCAAGUGCACGCCGCGCCGUCCGCCGUCUCGCCGGUAGCCCGGAACAGCUCUGACGGUGCCAACCGUCUUCCGGGAGCCCGGCUGGGCGGCACUCUGUGUCGUUUCCCUCGUCACACCUACCGACGCCGCCGCCCCCGUGCUGGACUCGGAUUGAUCGGAUAUCAUCGAGCCGACGCCGGGCUGGAGGCGAAGGGACGGUGCGAGGGAGGCGGACCGACGACGCCCCCCAUCGCGAUCGAGGAGCGCGAGAGAGCGAUCUCUCCCUCCUCAUGUAUCCGACCUCAGAUCGGACGAGAUUACCCGCUGAAUUUAAGCAUAUAACUAAGCGGAGGAAAAGAAACUAACGAGGAUUCCCUCAGUAACGGCGAGUGAAGCGGGAAUAGCCCAGCACCGAAUCCCUCAGUGUCAUGCUGACGGGAACUGUGGUGUGUGGGACGCCACCAGUCGCAUCAGAGGGCGCCGAAGUCCUCCUGAUCGGGGCUUCACCCAGAGCGGGUGUAAGGCCUUUGCGGGUGCCUCUCUGUGCGGCCGCGAGCGUCUCAGGAGUCGGGUUGUUUGGGAAUGCAGCCCAAAGCGGGUGGUAAACUCCAUCUAAGGCUAAAUACGUGCACGAG